CCUACGGGUGGCAGCAGUGAGGAAUAUUGGUCAAUGGGCGGGAGCCUGAACCAGCCAAGCCGCGUGAGGGAAGAAGGUACAGCGUAUCGUAAACCUCUUUUGUCAGGGAACAAAGGCGGGGACUAGUCCCCGGAUGAGGGUACCUGAAGAAACAGCAUCGGCUAACUCCGUGCCAGCAGCCGCGGUAAAAGGGGGGAUGCGAGCGUUAUCGGGUUUUAUUGGGUUUAAAGGGUGCGCAGGGGGCCUGUUAAGUCAGCGGUAAAAGCCCGGGGUUCAACCCCGGAGAGCCGUUGAAACUGGGGGGCUGGAGUUGGGAAGAGGUACGCGGAAUGCGAGGUGUAGCGGUGAAAUGCGUAGAUAUCGCGCAGAACCCCGAUGGCGAAGGCAGCGUACCGGCUCCACACUGACGCUGAGGCACGAAAGCGUGGGUAUCGAACAGGAUUAGAUACCCUUGUAGUC
rnacentral:rRNA from 1 species